UAUCCUACGGGAGGCAGCAGUAGGGAAUCUUCCACAAUGGACGAAAGUCUGAUGGAGCAACGCCGCGUGAGUGAAGAAGGGUUUCGGCUCGUAAAGCUCUGUUGGGAGUGAAGAAAGAUAGAGGUAGUAACUGGCCUUUAUUUGACGGUAAUUACUUAGAAAGUCACGGCUAACUACGAGCCAGCAGCCGCGGGAAUACGUAGGGGGCAAGCGGUGUCCGGAUUUAUUGGGCGGAAAGCGAGGGCAGGCGG
rnacentral:rRNA from 1 species